rnacentral:rRNA from 1 species
AUGUUUAAGUUUAAUGUAGAUGCUGCAGUAUCACAGAGCCGGAGGCGAGGAGUAGCAGCAGCUAUAUGCCGUGAUCAUGAUGGAAGCUUUCAGGAUGCAUCAGCGAUAGUGGUGAAAGGUGUUUUUGACCCGCCGACUCUUGAAGCUCUUGCUAUUCGUGAAGCAUUGGCACUUGCUGAGGACCUUAACAUACAAAGUGUACAUGUUGCUUGAGACUGCAGGACUGUGAUAGAUGACAUCAAACAAAAGAACCCGACAAGCUAUGUGGCGAUCUUACAUGAAAUAAUAGACCAAAGCUCUUCUUUCAGUAGAUAUAGCUUUGUUCAUGAGUUUAGGAGUUUAAAUUUUGAGGCUCACAAUCUAGCGAAGCAUAGUUUAAAAUUAGGGGUGGGCCGUCAUGUUUGGUUAGGACACCCUGGUGAUAUUACUUUUGUACCUCUGAACAUUGGGUCGGUUUAA